rnacentral:rRNA from 2 species
ACGGCUCAGUAACACGUGGAUAACCUGCCCUUGGGUCCGGCAUAACCCCGGGAAACUGGGGAUAAUUCCGGAUAACGCAUAUGUGCUGGAAUGCUUUAUGCGUCAAAUGGAUUCGUCUGCCCAAGGAUGGGUCUGCGGCCUAUCAGGUAGUAGUGGGUGUAAUGUACCUACUAGCCGACAACGGGUACGGGUUGUGAGAGCAAGAGCCCGGAGAUGGAUUCUGAGACAUGAAUCCAGGCCCUACGGGGCGCAGCAGGCGCGAAAACUUUACAAUGCGGGAAACCGUGAUAAGGGGACACCGAGUGUCAGCAUCAUAUGCUGGCUGUCCAGGUGUGUAAAAUACACCUGUUAGCAAGGGCCGGGCAAGACCGGUGCCAGCCGCCGCGGUAACACCGGCGGCCCGAGUGGUGAUCGUGAUUAUUGGGUCUAAAGGGUCCGUAGCCGGUUUGGUCAGUCCUCCGGGAAAUCUGAUAGCUCAACUAUUAGGCUAUCGGGGGAUACUACCAGACUUGGAACCGGGAGAGGUAAGAGGUACUACAGGGGUAGGAGUGAAAUCUUGUAAUCCCUGUGGGACCACCUGUGGCGAAGGCGUCUUACCAGAACGGGUUCGACGGUGAGGGACGAAAGCUGGGGGCACGAACCGGAUUAGAUACCCGGGUAGUCCCAGCCGUAAACGAUGCUCGCUAGGUGUCAGGCAUGGCGCGACCGUGUCUGGUGCCGCAGGGAAGCCGUGAAGCGAGCCACCUGGGAAGUACGGCCGCAAGGCUGAAACUUAAAGGAAUUGGCGGGGGAGCAC